GGCGGUAUAGCCAAGUGGUAAGGCAGCGGAUUGCAAAUCCGCCAUCCCCAGUUCAAAUCUGGGUGCCGCCU
rnacentral:tRNA from 1 species